GUGGGAUAGGGGUGAGGUAUGGGGUGAGACAGGUGAGGUAGAAGGUGAUGUAUAGGGUGAGACAGGUGGGAUAGGGGUGAGGUAUGGGGUGAGACAGGUGAGGUAGAAGGUGAGGUAUGGGGUGAGACAGGUUAGAUAGAAGGUGAGGUAUGGGGUGAGACAGGUGAGGUAGAAGGUGAGGUAUGGGGUGAGACAGGUUAGAUAGAAGGUGAGGUAUGGGGUGAGACAGGUGAGAUAGGGGUGAGACAGGUGGGAUAGGGGGUGAGGUAUGUGGUGAGACAGGUGGGAUAGGGGCUGAGGUAUGGGGUGAGAUAGAAGGUGAGGUAUGGUAUGAGACAGGUGGGAUAGGGGGUGAGGUCUGGGGUGAGAUAGAAGGUGAGGUAUGGGGUGAGACAGGUGGGAUAGAGGGUGAGGUAUGGGGUGAGGUAUAGGGUGAGACAGGUGGGAUAGGGGGUGAGGUAUGGGGUGAGACAGGUGAGAUAGAAGGUGAGGUAUGGG
ensembl:lncRNA